rnacentral:lncRNA from 1 species
GACGGUCAUCUGUAAAUUCUACUGACGUUACACAACAGGACUUACCUGUGAGAAGCCAGUCGAAUGGAUCAUACUUGUUGAUGCCUGGUGGAGAUGUGGAGAAAAAUAGCACUUCUAUUCAAUCCCUGCCAAGCACUUCUGCAUCAAACAAGUCUCUAAUAACUGCAUCAUCAUAUGGGGCAACUGCAGAAACAGGGGAACCAAUGCAUCAGGAUCCAGAUGAUGACUCUGAAGAAAUCAGGAGAAACUAUUUAUACAGUCAGUCAGGAGAUGACCAUGGGCUCCUCAAAGAAUCAGGUAGGUUCUCCAGGAAACUGAAGUCUCCUCGCCUUCGGAGGAGACGUCCAAAUAAUUUGCAACCAUCUGUUCCCUCAGAUAUUUCCAGCACAGAUGUGAACGGAUUGGAACUUACUCUCAAUGCAAACUCCAGUGGAAACCAGAGAAGAGGAUUCAACCCUUGCAUUAAACCCCAGGAUUCCCACCGAGUGCUAAAGCUGAGAUCUCUAAAAAACAACCAUGGAACGGUAUGGAAUGUUCCUGAAAAAAGAUUGUCACCAGACCCUCAGACGCACUCUGAACCCAAGCAGACGCGUGAUGGGAACGUUCAAAUGAAACCAAUCAAACUGAAGACACAGAGGAGCGUCUCCAUCCCAGAGAUCAGCUCCUCUCAGAGUUCCCUUCCACCUUCUCACAGACGCAGCCCCUCGCCCCCACCAGGCCUGGGCCCCCAGCUUCACCCUUCUCCACUCCAGGGCCUGCUGCAGAGGGCAAAGGAACGGGAAAGAGGACGUGGACUGGGAAAAAGAGAGGGAAAGAAAAAAACUUUAUCUCUACAAAAUUCUCCUACUGUUUCUGCCUCUCCAUCACCGUCGGUCAGUGAAGGAGAGAGAGAGGCAGAAAGAGAGGAAUCAGCAGUAGCCGGUAUGAUAUCUGCUCAUGGAUGGAUAGAGGGGAACGUGGAUGGAAGUGAGGAUGAGAUGAAAGAGAGCAAUAAUGUCCUAGAGGGCAUCAGCGUGGACUGGCCAGGCUGGUGUUUUGAUGAUGAGGAGGUGUUUGACUUUGAGGACUUUGAAGAUGAAGACUGGUUUGACAAGAAGCUGACCACAAAUGAGCCCAGUAGGUCCGAGACGAAACCAUCAGAGAGGCCAGAUGAAACAGAAUGUAGUGAGGUGUAGUCUAUUAAACGUGUAAAAAGUGUUUGGAGAAAUGUAAUAUAUAAAGUUCUUUUGUGUUGUUUAAUGAUUAUGUAGCAUGACUAUUAUAGUCAAAUAUAUUUGAGUGAUACAUACAGCCUGCA